rnacentral:rRNA from 1 species
UACGUAGGGGGCUAGCGUUGUCCGGAUUUAUUGGGCGUAAAGAGCGCGCAGGCGGUCGUUCAAGUCGAGUGUGAAAGCCCCCGGCUCAACUGGGGAGGGUCAUUCGAUACUGAUCGACUCGAAGGCAGGAGAGGGUAGUGGAAUUCCCGGUGUAGUGGUGAAAUGCGUAGAUAUCGGGAGGAACACCAGUGGCGAAGGCGACUACCUGGCCUGUUCUUGACGCUGAGGCGCGAAAGCUAGGGGAGCAAACGGG